rnacentral:rRNA from 1 species
UCAGCAGCCGCGGUAAUACGGGGGGAGCAAGCGUUGUUCGGAAUCACUGGGCGUAAAGGGUGCGCAGGCGGGAGAUUAAGUCGGAUGUGAAAUCCCCAAGCUUAACUUGGGGCCUGCAUUUGAAACUGAUCUUCUUGAGUAUCGGAGAGGAAAGCGGAACUCCAGGUGUAGCGGUGAAAUGCGUAGAUAUCUGGAGGAACACCUGUGGCGAAGGCGGCUUUCUGGCUGAAUACUGACGCUCAUGCACGAAGGCUAGGGGAGCAAACAGGAUUAGAUACCCUGGUAGUCCUAGCGGUAAACGAUGGGCACUAGGUGUCGGGGGUAUCGACCCCCUCGGUGCCGAAGCAAACGCAUUAAGUGCCCCGCCUGGGGAGUACGGCCGCAAGGCUGAAACUCAAAGGAAUUGACGGGGGCCCGCACAAGC